rnacentral:tRNA from 1 species
AGCCCCGGAGCCCCCUUAGGGCUCGUCUUCAAACUUGCAUUUUGACGUGGGUCACCUCAGGGCU